rnacentral:rRNA from 1 species
CUACGGGACGCAGCAGUGGGGAAUAUUGCACAAUGGGGGAAACCCUGAUGCAGCGACGCCGCGUGAGUGAAGAAGUAUUUCGGUAUGUAAAGCUCUAUCAGCAGGGAAGAAAAUGACGGUACCUGACUAAGAAGCCCCGGCUAACUACGUGCCAGCAGCCGCGGUAAUACGUAGGGGGCAAGCGUUAUCCGGAUUUACUGGGUGUAAAGGGAGCGUAGACGGUGAGACAAGUCUGAAGUGAAAUCCCGGGGCGCAACCCCGGAACUGCUUUGGAAACUGCCUGACUAGAGUGCAGGAGAGGUAAGUGGAAUUCCUAGUGUAGCGGUGAAAUGCGUAGAUAUUAGGAGGAACACCAGUGGCGAAGGCGGCUUACUGGACUGUAACUGACGUUGAGGCUCGAAAGCGUGGGGAGCAAACAGGAUUAGAUACCCCGGUAGUC